rnacentral:snRNA from 1 species
AUACUUACCUGGCGCGGGGGAUACCGUGAUCAAGAAGGCGGUGCCUCCAGGACGAGGCCUGUACAUUGCACUCCGUAUGGGCUGACUCCUGCGACUACCCCAAUCGGGGUGGCUCGAGCGCAUAAUUUUUGGUAGUGGGGACAAGCGUUCGCGCUGUCCCUU